UCCCCCAGGUUAGCGCGGACGGAGCGGCGAAGGCGGAGGUGAGCGCGGGCGCCGGGGGGGCCGGGGGGGUCGCGGGGGUCGCCCAGCGCGUCGUUCACGCUCCCUUUUCUCUCCGCAGCCCAAGCGGCGCUCCGCGAGGCUGUCGGCCAAGCCCGCCCCUGCCAAGGUGGACGCGAAGCCGAAGAAGGCCGCGGGAAAGGAUAAACCGUCAGACAAAAAAGUGCAAACCAAAGGGAAGAGGGGAGCAAAGGGCAAACAGGCUGAGGUGGCUGACCAGCAGACCACAGACGUGCCUGCAGAAAACGGAGAGGCUGAGAACCAGAGUCCAGCCUCUGAAGUUGAAGAGAAAGAAGCCAAGUCCGACUAACCAUCCAUCGUGUCUGUCAGUGUCCCCGCCUCCCUUCUUGUACAAUCCAGAGGAAUAUUUUUAUCAACUAUUUUGUAAAUGCGAGUUUUUUAGUAGCUCUAGAAACAUUUUUAAAAGGUGGGAGGAAGUCCCGCCUCAUCCCAUUUUUUAAGUGUAAAUGAUUUUUUUAAGAGGUUAAAUCACUUGCUGGUUGUUUAUUUUUUGGUACAACCAGAAAAGAGCAGGAUACUGAAUCAGGAGAGGCUGUGAGUGUCUCGGGGGUCACCAUAACAUUCCGUAGAGGGGGCUAGUUUUAUAUCCUACAACACAAAGCAUACUUGGAGUCUUGGCCGUGCAUUUGUGUCUGGAAUAUUUUCAGUUAUUUCUGGUCUCGUGUUUCUAGUAGAACUGUAUCCUAAAAACCACUCCUCGGUCCUUGCCCUGUCAGAACUGUCUCUGGUCACGGCAGUCCAUUUUCCUAACAAUUGUGAUAAUGUGCUGUGAAAGAUUGAAAUUUUGAAUAUGUACUGUAUGUGGCAUAAAAUUGUGAGUCAGUGGAA